rnacentral:lncRNA from 1 species
CAUACAUGAUAGGUACAUGCAGAAUCUAAAAUCCACUACUGGAAAGAAGUAGAUACCUCGUCAGAUAUUUUUAGGACAUCAUCCUCUGACUCGCUACUGACCAUCGUAGCAAUAGCCCUCAUCCGAUCCCCGAGUUAAGAGCAAUCUCUAGCUAGAUGUCCUAACUCAUCACACUGGUAAUAUCUGAUCUUGCUCAAGUCUCUCAUCCUAGACUUGGACCGCCCUCAUCAUGAUCUCCUGUCGCUCUGUCUACCACCUCUUGCUCCUUC